rnacentral:rRNA from 1 species
UACGUGAGGUGCAAGCGUUAAUCGGAAUUACUGGGCGUAAAGGCGUGCGCAGGCGGUUUUGUAAGUUGUCGUGAAAGCCCCCGGGCUCAACCUGGGAAUUGCGAUGAAGACUGCAAGGCUUGAAUCUGGCAGGAGGGGGUAGAAUUCCACGUGUAGCAGUGAAAUGCGUAGAUAUCGAGAGGAACACCAGUGGCGAAGCGAGUCUCUGGCCUGUUCUUGACGCUGAGGCGCGAAAGCUAGGGGAGCAAACGGG